rnacentral:lncRNA from 1 species
AAAAAAACAAAAGUAGAGAAUUAAAGGAAAAGUUAUUUUGUAAUUAAUUGAAGGAGGUGUUGAGGUCUCCAUCUUCACAAAUUAAAUACGUGGAGAGGUAAGCCAAAUUUCCAACCUUACUUUAUAUUUAUUUCUAAUACAUAUGAGAUAAGCAUCAAGCAGGGGAUAAGUCAUGAUAAUAUUACUAUUAUAUGUACGAAACUGUGAUUUGGUAGUCUAUCUUUGAAAUUGCAUGCAUAAAUAUGGCGAUGUCUAUGGAAAGAAAAUCGUGGCAUUAUGCAUUUGUGCAAUGGUGGUGAGCUCAUUCUUGAUUGGAAAUGCAACAUCAACACCAACACCAACACCAACAUUUGAAGAGGAAAAACAUGCAGUUGCGUGCAGUCGAGGACAUUGCCUACCACCUCCCAAUCCUUCUUCUGAUAGAGGCUGCCAAGCAUCCAACAGAUGCCGAACCACACCACCCUAGAAAUGAACAACUUUAUUCCUUAUCAUUGUCUUUACUAUUUAUUUGCCUACGUUUAUUUUUAUUUAUAUCAUGGAAUAAAUAAAUAAUAUGAAUAAACUAAUUUACUAUUUGAAGUGCG